AACUUGUGUUGGGGAUCUUAGGGUAGGUGCUGACUCGCCUAUACCUAUGGCCAUUAUUAAGAGUAUGGUUUUAAAUGCAAUUUGAUGGUUUUUAUCUGGAUAUUCAGAGUAUCUUCCCUUGUCAAGCGUUAUCUCCUAUUAAUUAUACAUUCAUUUCCACACACCAUAUAGGAGACAGUAGUUCAUAAAUAUGAUGUGACCUAGAUCAUGCAGAAUUGUUGAGUAGAUGACUGUCAUUCUGAAAACUGUCAUUCUGAAAGCAUGGAGAGGUAAUUUUUUAAAGUAAAUGAAAGGAAAAUAUUAUCAAUUGAAAGUCAAAGAAUAAUGGAAUAACAAAAACAAUUGUAAAAAUUUGAAAAAGGUAUUUCAACCAGAGAAAGGCCUACAGCUUUACAGUUUAGGAUGUGAUGUUAUGAGAAAUUCUUGCAUUGUGCAGGUGACAGAGCUUUUACAUCACUAUAUUGCUGACUUUAUAAUUGAUCUAUUGGGAUGCAACCCUCUCUAAUCCAAACUGCAACUUUUUUGUUUUUUUGGAGGGGGAAAGUAUGAAAAGAUUAGUUUCUGUGAACCCAUAAAAAGAAGAUCUUGAAAUCUUUGGAAAGCUUACUAGUUGAGGUAAAAAAAUGCUUUUGAAAUAUCCAAGAACUUCUUGAUGUAGGACAAGAAGAAUACAAAGGGCAUAGAAACAAAGUUUUGAAAAAAGAAGAGAAACAAAUUCUCAAAUUUUAUUAGUUCUCAAUAAUGGUAUCAUAAUCAUCUCUCCAAUGAAAUACCUAGAAGACAUAAGUAUUUAUAGUAUAACAUUAAUCCUAUCACUACCAUGAUUAGAAAUUUCAAAACAAGAAAAUACUAGAUCAAUAUCAAUUAGGAAUCCCAAAUCAACUUAUAAACUUCCUAAAUAACAGAAUCCUAAAGUUCCUAAUUUGACAAUGAAAAGUCAAAUUCAAAUAAUUCAUAAAUAUAUCCUUCCUAUACUGCAUUACUUAUCUUUUUAGCUUGGGUGAUCAUGCGAACCUAUUGAAUAUAAAAGACAUAAAAAUAAAGGUUCUAACAUCUAAAGAUAAAACGCUGGCAGUUGAUAAACUAUUCUGUUGUAUAAUUUGAAAAUAGUUCAGUUAUCCGGUACAUUUGGUUGAAGGAUUUAAUUUUCUCUUACAUUUGUAAGAUCAAAGUGAACUGCAUUUGUACAAUAACCUUUCAAAAUUAACCAAUAUGUGUCAGUUUGGCUUGUUAAUUCAGUUCACGUGAAUAAUCCUCAUCCCUAUGUUGGCAUAUUGAUGUUAGGGAUUUGAGUUUUGUGGGCUGGAGAGUAACAUCUUCAAGUAAAAAAGAGGGAACUAUGGCAGUAUGUGUUAUGGUUUACAAAAGUUUCACUUAUGGAAAAGCAAUUUCUCGAAGACUCAGAACCCCAUUCCUAGGCACUUUCACUAAUCAGCUUAUGCACUGAUAAUUAGGAAAGACCAAGCCAGCCACUAAAUCCUGUUUCUAUUACAUCCUAUUUUGUUUUUCAUUUUCAAUUCCUUGGUUGUAGGAGGGUGUACCUGUACCUCCACUCUUCCAUUUCUCUAAGUUUUAGGAGGUUGUUUGUCCUCCACUUAUGUUUAUGUGCAGUUGUUAUUGUUCAAUAUAGGACAAGCGGAAUUUCACACAAGUUGAGUACUUUCUUACUCAGAAUUGAGCUCAAGCUGUAACCAUAGGUAGAAAAAGCCAAGACCCUAGUAAACACUCACCCUUACCUCAACCACAGCCUAUCCCUUCCUCUUCUAGAGCCAUACUGCGAUCCUACGCCAAGGACCAUAACAG
rnacentral:misc_RNA from 1 species